GGAAACAAAUACUGCAUGAGGAGGCAAAAAGAAGAUGGGCCAGAAAAAUACAGCUGUACUCUUAAAAGAGAAAUUUUCAUCCAUAUCAUCUGGUUGCCAGAGGUGACAUUUUCUGCAGCUGAGGUGCCUGAUGUCAUGGGAGGUGGCUGUGGAGUACUCCGAGUGUUUCUGAUUCACGUUUCUUCUGUUUAUUUGCCAUCAAGGUCACCAUGUCUCUUACCCAGGGUUUGGCUCUUACUUUAGCUGGAGCUUUCAAGAAAAUGUUAGUUGCAUCUUUCCUUUCUGGGAAAAUUGCUGUACAAAGUCAACUGAAACUGCCUGAAAUUCAUCUAGGAUUGAGCUAGGAAUUAAAAAGGGAUAUGAAAGUUUGCUCUGAA